UACGGGGGGGGCAAGCGUUGUUCGGAAUUACUGGGCGUAAAGGGCUCGUAGGCGGCCAACUAAGUCAGACGUGAAAUCCCUCGGCUUAACCGGGGAACUGCGUCUGAUACUGGAUGGCUUGAGUUUGGGAGAGGGAUGCGGAAUUCCAGGUGUAGCGGUGAAAUGCGUAGAUAUCUGGAGGAACACCGGUGGCGAAGGCGGCAUCCUGGCCAACACUGACGCUGAGUGAGCGAAAGCCAGGGGAGCAAACGGGG
rnacentral:rRNA from 1 species